rnacentral:rRNA from 1 species
UACGUAGGGGGCAAGCGUUGUCCGGAAUCAUUGGGCGUAAAGAGCGUGUAGGCGGUCCGGUAAGUCCGCUGUGAAAGUCGGGGGCUCAACCCUCGAAAGCCGGUGGAUACUGUCGGACUAGAGUGCGGAAGAGGCGAGUGGAAUUCCUGGUGUAGCGGUGAAAUGCGCAGAUAUCAGGAGGAACACCAAUUGCGAAGGCAGCUCGCUGGGACGUUACUGACGCUGAGACGCGAAAAGCGUGGGGAGCAAACAGG